rnacentral:rRNA from 1 species
AUGAACGCUAGCUACAGGCUUAACACAUGCAAGUCGAGGGGCAGCAUGAACUUAGCUUGCUAAGUUUGAUGGCGACCGGCGCACGGGUGAGUAACACGUAUCCAACCUGCCGAUGACUCGGGGAUAGCCUUUCGAAAGAAAGAUUAAUACCCGAUGGCAUAGUUCUUCCGCAUGGUGGAACUAUUAAAGAAUUUCGGUCAUCGAUGGGGAUGCGUUCCAUUAGGUUGUUGGCGGGGUAACGGCCCACCAAGCCUUCGAUGGAUAGGGGUUCUGAGAGGAAGGUCCCCCACAUUGGAACUGAGACACGGUCCAAACUCCUACGGGAGGCAGCAGUGAGGAAUAUUGGUCAAUGGACGAGAGUCUGAACCAGCCAAGUAGCGUGAAGGAUGACUGCCCUAUGGGUUGUAAACUUCUUUUAUACGGGAAUAAAGUGAGGCACGUGUGCCUUUUUGUAUGUACCGUAUGAAUAAGGAUCGGCUAACUCCGUGCCAGCAGCCGCGGUAAUACGGAGGAUCCGAGCGUUAUCCGGAUUUAUUGGGUUUAAAGGGAGCGUAGGCGGACGCUUAAGUCAGUUGUGAAAGUUUGCGGCUCAACCGUAAAAUUGCAGUUGAUACUGGGUGUCUUGAGUACAGUAGAGGCAGGCGGAAUUCGUGGUGUAGCGGUGAAAUGCUUAGAUAUCACGAAGAACUCCGAUUGCGAAGGCAGCUUGCUGGACUGUAACUGACGCUGAUGCUCGAAAGUGUGGGUAUCAAACAGGAUUAGAUACCCUGGUAGUCCACACAGUAAACGAUGAAUACUCGCUGUUUGCGAUAUACAGUAAGCGGCCAAGCGAAAGCGUUAAGUAUUCCACCUGGGGAGUACGCCGGCAACGGUGAAACUCAAAGGAAUUGACGGGGGCCCGCACAAGCAGUGGAUUAUGUGGUUUAAUUCGAAGCAACGCGAAGAACCUUACCAGGGCUUGACAUAAACAGGAAUAAGUAAGAGAUUACUUAGCUCUUCGGAGUCUGUUUACAGGUGGUGCAUGGUUGUCGUCAGCUCGUGUCGUGAGAUGUUGGGUUAAGUCCCGCAACGAGCGCAACCCCUGCUUUUAGUUGCCAGCACGUAAUGGUGGGAACUCUAGAAGGACUGCCGGUGAUAAAUCGGAGGAAGGUGGGGACGACGUCAAAUCAUCAUGCCCUUUAUGUCCUGGGCUACACACGUACUACAAUGGCCGCAACAGAGGGAAGCGAAAUAGUGAUAUGGAGCAAAACCCCAAAAACGGUCUCAGUUCGGAUUGAAGGCUGAAAUUCGCCUUCAUGAAGCUGGAAUUGCUAGUAAUGGCAGGUCAGCAUACUGCCGUGAAUACGUUCCCGGGCCUUGUACACACCGCCCGUCAAGCCAUGAAAGCCGGGGGUACCUGAAGUGCGUAACCGCAAGGAGCGCCCUAGGGUAAAACUGGUGAUUGGGGCU